AUUGAACGCUGGCGGCAUGCCUUACACAUGCAAGUCGAACGGCAGCACGGGUGCUUGCACCUGGUGGCGAGUGGCGAACGGGUGAGUAAUACAUCGGAACGUACCUUACCGUGGGGGAUAACGCAGCGAAAGCUGUGCUAAUCCCGCAUACGCCCUGAGGGGGAAAGCGGGGGAUCGCAAGACCUCGCGCGAUUAGAGAGGCCGAUGCCUGAUCAGCGUGUUGGUGGGGUAAAAGCCCACCAAGGCGACGAUCAGUAGCUGGUCUGAGAGGACGAUCAGCCACACUGGGACUGAGACACGGCCCAGACUCCUACGGGAGGCAGCAGUGGGGAAUUUUGGACAAUGGGGGCAACCCUGAUCCAGCAAUGCCGCGUGAGUGAAGAAGGCCUUCGGGUUGUAAAGCUCUUUUGUCAGGGAAGAAACACCGGCUCUAACACAGUCCGGGAAUGACGGUACCUGAAGAAUAAGCACCGGCUAACUACGUGCCAGCCGCCGCCGUAA
rnacentral:rRNA from 1 species